AUGUUUAAUAUACCAUAAAAAGUUAAUUCAUUAUCAAUUGUGUAGAUCAGAAGAAUCAGCUUUUUAUAUUUAAUUCAAUUUUUAUACAAAAAACGCAUUUCAGCACUACCAGACUACUUUUCCUACUACCUUUUCACAAAAGCGGAUAAAAUGGUUACCCGCCUUCUCUUUCCUUCUCAAAUACAACCUUACAAGGUAUUCGAUUGACACAAAUGUCAAUAUUUAUCCAACCUUGUAUUUUUGAAUCAUGUUUCAGCACUACCAGACUACUUUUCCAAAUACCUUUUCACAAAAGGGGAUAAAAUGGUUACACGCCUUCUCUUUUCUUCUCAAAUGCAACCUUACAAGGCAGUCGAUUGCACAAAUGUCAAAAUUUAUCCAACCUCUUAUUAUUGAAUCAAGGUUUUGAUGACAGUAUACAUACUGUGAAGAAAUGUCACUGCGAAAAUUUGGAAGAUUGCAAAACAUCAGCUGACUAAGUCGCUCUAAAGAUUUGGCAUUCACCAUCAGCACCUUGGACGCCAAAGGCACCUUUGAAGCCAUCAGCACCAAAGUCAUCACCUUAAAGGGCACCAAUAAUGGAAUAUUGCAGCUAUAUUGUUCGAAAAUUACGCAAACGAAGGUGAUGCCAACG